rnacentral:rRNA from 1 species
GCCAGCCCGCUCAAGAAACUUAAAUGAAUUGACGGGGCCCGCACAAGCGGUGGAGUAUGUGGUUUAAUUCGAUGCAACGCGAAGAACCUUACCUGGUCUUGACAUCCCGGAGACCCUUAGGAAACUAGGGGGUGCUUCCAUCUGGAAGAAUCUGGAGACAGGUGCUGCAUGGCUGUCGUCAGCUCGUGUCGUGAGAUGUUGGGUUAAGUCCCGCAACGAGCGCAACCCUUGCCUUUAGUUGCCAGCAGUUCGGCUGGGCACUCUAAAGGGACUGCCGGUGUUAAACCGGAGGAAGGUGGGGAUGACGUCAAGUCCUCAUGGCCUUUAUGACCAGGGCUACACACGUACUACAAUGGCCGAUACAAAGGGCAGCGACAUUGCGAGGUGAAGCCAAUCCCGUAAAAUCGGUCUCAGUCCGGAUUGGAGUCUGCAACUCGACUCCAUGAAGUUGGAAUCGCUAGUAAUCGUGGAUCAGCAUGCCACGGUGAAUACGUUCCCGGGCCUU